ACGGGUGAGGAAUACGUCGGAAUCUGCCUAUUUGUGGGGGAUAACGUAGGGAAACUUACGCUAAUACCGCAUACGACCUACGGGUGAAAGCGGAGGACCUUCGGGCUUCGCGCAGAUAGAUGAGCCGACGUCGGAUUAGCUAGUUGGCGGGGUAAAGGCCCACCAAGGCGACGAUCCGUAGCUGGUCUGAGAGGAUGAUCAGCCACACUGGAACUGAGACACGGUCCAGACUCCUACGGGAGGCAGCAGUGGGGAAUAUUGGACAAUGGGCGCAAGCCUGAUCCAGCCAUGCCGCGUGUGUGAAGAAGGCCUUCGGGUUGUAAAGCACUUUUGUCCGGAAAGAAAAGCAUUGGGUUAAUACCCCGAUGUCAUGACGGUACCGGAAGAAUAAGCACCGGCUAACUUCGUGCCAGCAGCCGCGGUAAUACGAAGGGUGCAAGCGUUACUCGGAAUUACUGGGCGUAAAGCGUGCGUAGGUGGUUUGUUAAGUCUGAUGUGAAAGCCCUGGGCUCAACCUGGGAAUGGCAUUGGAAACUGGCUGACUAGAGUGCGGUAGAGGGUAGUGGAAUUCCCGGUGUA
rnacentral:rRNA from 6 species